rnacentral:rRNA from 1 species
AUAACGACUCUCGGCAACGGAUAUCUCGGCUCUCGCAUCGAUGAAGAACGUAGCGAACUGCGAUACUUGGUGUGAAUUGCAGAAUCCCGUGAACCAUCGAGUCUUUGAACGCAAGUUGCGCCCGAAGCCUUUCGGCCGAGGGCACGUUUGCCUGGGUGUCACU